AAAGUCGUAACAAGGUAUCCGUAGGUGAACCUGCGGAUGGAUCAUUAAUGAAAUGUUUCUAAACCUAGGGUCAGUUCUUUAACUAGGACUUUCCCUUACACCCAUACCUGUUGAACUGUAUUGAAUGGUUGCUAGGCUCUGGCCUAAUGAUCAUUUUAUAAACACCUAUUAAACUUAAGACUUUUUUGAAAAGACUUAUUGAACCGGAGCUUGCUCUAGUGAUAUUUGACUAUAUAAAGAAAAACAACUUUUGACAACGGAUCUCUUGGCUCUC
rnacentral:misc_RNA from 1 species